UGUUGGAUGAGGAGAAACAAACCUUUCAUUGGGCCUUAGCAUGACUUCGGGCAUCCUGGGCCUCCGGGCUGCCCAGCCUCUUCCGCGAAAGCCCAGUCCAGCGCAGCUGAGAGCUCUGGAAAAGUUUCUGAGCGAAAGACCUGCAGCUUCGGGGCGCCGGGAUCUGCUGCCUGGAGCCGGGAGGGUAGCCUGGUUGGCAGCCGAGUCUUAACAGCUAAGCAGUGGCUGAAGGUCCUUUUGUCUUCCCCGGCCUCCGCUGUCCCUACCUCCCACCGCGGAUCCCGUCACCCCAGCUGCUCGAGGUCCCGCUCUCCAGGGCACGUUAGUUGCGAGCGCAGGGUCGAGGCCAGCCAGAUGGGGGUUUUGCAGUCCCAGGCGUGCGGCUGCGGAGGCUGGCUGCUCCCUGGCCUGUGGCUGCUGGCGCUGAGCGGUCCAGGGGGACUACUGUCCACCCAGGAAUAGCCUUCUUGCUGCAGAGCUUCAUCUCCACUUUAUCCUGGACAAAUCCGCAAAUCCAGUCAAUCAGAAGUUGUUCUGCACUCGCAUUCUGGUGAUUUGACAGUUUGCCAUGACUGACAGGUCAGUUACCCAGUCUCCUUUCCAACCUUCUAUGAUUGACAGGCUACAUCCCGCUAUCCAUCCAGCCUACCAUGUCCUGAUCUCCUGCCUCUUGGGAUUACAGAAGCCUGGCUGACACUGAAGAACAGAGCAGAGCCAUACCCUCCCUAACCAGUGUGGAUGUCCCCUCUCCUGGGUCCCAGAUUCUGUCUCUCACGGCUGCAUGGAGAAAGAUUGUGUCAUCAAAUCUUCCUUCUGAGAUGCUGACUUUAACAGAUUAGAAAUGCUCCCAGCACAGCCCGCACU